UUACUGAAAACCGGGUGAAUACAAAAGUUUCUUUUUAUACCUCAUUAUUUGCCUUCAGCCACAUUCACAUAUUUCACCUCUUCAAAACUCUGCCCAAGCCCAACCCCAAAUUAAAACCCUUAACCUCUCUUCAUGUUACUGCCGCCACUUCCUCUUCCUUUCUCCAUUAAAUCAAAACACUACAUUUACUCUAAUGAUGGUAAAUAGGGGCUCUUUAUCUCCUGUGCUUGCUCUUUAUCCUCCCAAUUUUCGAAUGUUCAUUAUCGAACCUUAUUCAAGGUCUAAUUCAAUUUUUCGAUUGCAGAAAGAAGCUCAACCUCCUAUGCUAAUAGAUUCAGAAAUUCUGAAAAAUUGUUGUCUAAUUGAUUACCUUACUUCCGAUCAAAAUUGAGUCUUUUUCUCAGAUCUCAUCUUCAGGGUCAUUUCUCUAAGUUUUGCCGAAAUUGUUGUUGUAUUUCAUAUUUGCGUGAUGAUUUCGUCAAACAAAAUUCUCAAACAAAGGAAUUAGAAUUGGCGGAGCUAGAAGGGGACAUGUGGGGACACUUGUCCCCCCAUUUUCAAAAAAAAAAA